GUCUAGCUCUAGCUCUUGGAUGGGCAUCGCUCACGGCAGAGCUGCUGCAGCACACCCGAGGUCUCAGCCCAUGGAUUCAGCAUGCAGAGCCCUCAUCUCCAGCAGCCAGGUGGAACAGACCGCUGGGAAAAGGGAGUUUGGUGUGUGAUGGCAAGAUUCACCAGUGCCCCUUCCACCAUUGCGUAUCAGCCGGAUGUACUCACCUUGACAGGAGUGUAAAAUUUACAACAGAAAUUACUUUAAGACUGGAAAAGCUCUUACUUAACUGAACCAUCAUUCAAAAUGCAUUAUGAAAGUCACCAAGGAGAAGUUUUCCAUCUCACUGUCUGCAGGACUCCUGCAGGUCUUCUGAAGCUUAAGUUCAUGCAUAGGACAUGGCAGGCCUGGUCAUUUCACUUCUUGUAUGUUCUCAGUUGGAAGUCACUGAAAAUCAGAAGAAGCUCCCAGGCUGCCCCUUAAAAGAAAAAGCAGUAAUCUGGCAAAAUGAACUCAGAACACACAAAGAGGAGCCACUGGAGACUAAUCUGCAAGGUAUUCAGAUUCUGCUACCAAACUGCUUCUGGGACUUCAUGCAGUUUGCUUCAUCUGAGAGAACCUCAGCAGUGCGCAUGGAGUCAGAAUUCCCUCCAGGAAGGGCUGGAACAUCUGAGCAUAGCGGUGGGGCUCAUCCUGCAGCAGGAGGACUGUCCAGCUGCUCAGACUGGCACCUGUCCUCAGCCCAGUCCAAACCCAAAUGCCUAAGGAAGUGUGUAAGGACAAGGAAAUUGUAGAUCAUAUUUCAGCUAAGUGAUAUCUUGGUGCUCUCCCACCCCCAAGAAACAUGCAGCCAGGCAUAGUUUAUUUCUCAUUAGCAACUAAAGCGGAUUUCUGUUCUGUAAACUUGCCCGACCUCCUCUGAGCCUUACGGCCUCCCUCACAGGGAGUCCUACAGCAUGACACACCUGUUGUGAAGAGUCACUUUGUUUUUGUUUGUUUUGAAACUACCUCAUGCUAGUUGGAGAUGAAAGGAUGCCUUCUAGAAUCUGACAGUAAAACUAGAAAAGGUUUUUUAAGAUUGUAUUUUUGAAAUGUAAUUUGUGUUUAGGCGUUAGGUUAGUAUGGUGGAUAUAGCACAGUUAAGUAAUCCAGGACCGGGUUGCCUUGUGGGUAAAACAACUAAUCUAAAGGGUCUGUACUUCCAGGGAAGUCAAGUCUUAGCAGCCAUAUCAGUUUUAAGCAUGGGCAUAUUUGCUGGUAGCAGAAAAAUUCCUGAUUGGUUCCAGUUAAUGAAUCAUUUGAGCAUGCAUUUAACUCCUCUGUGCAUUUCAGACUGAGUUGUGCUGGGGUACUGAGUCUGGGUGUUACUCUGAAGGUACCUCUCUGUUUGUAACACGGUGGGAUUUUUUUUGUUUGCUGGAUAAAUACCAUAUGCUUUUGACUUUGCUAUCCUGUGUUGGAUAGUGUUGGUUUUGUGCAGAGACCUGAUUCUAACUGGGAGGUUAUUGAGAUCAAUGUGUUCUGGGAUGUUUCUGCUUCCCAAUGAUAAGAGGGAUGAAUGGUAGAGAGAAGUAAUGGGAAGAGAGAGGUAAAUGUGCAUGAAGAGCCCUGAAAUCUAAAGAAGAUAGGAAGAACAUGCAUCACCAAUCAGUCUGUUGCAUAUUGAGACACAAGAUCUCCUUGGGAUGGGGUAAUAAAUACUUUGGUAACUUCA
rnacentral:lncRNA from 1 species